rnacentral:rRNA from 1 species
GUUGACCUCGGAUCAGGUAGGAAUACCCGCUGAACUUAAGCAUAUCAAUAAGCGGAGGAAAAGAAACCAACAGGGAUUGCCUCAGUAACGGCGAGUGAAGCGGCAACAGCUCAAAUUUGAAAUCUGGCUCCUUCGGGGCCCGAGUUGUAAUUUGCAG